AAAAGUCGUGCAGAGACAUAUUGGUGGGCUAAUAGGGUCAGGUUUUGGUGGAAACACAAUGCCUCGAGUCUGUUGAAGCCAUAUAAGUUAUCAUAGUGGUAUAAAUAGACGCAUAACCUGCUAUAGGCCUUGAAAUAUCGAUGUCCGUAACAUUCAAAAUAAUUGAUUUUAGACGCUCUUUUUGUCCGAUUUCAAACUUGGACCCUAGUUAUUUGUCUAAUUCGUUUUCAAUCAAUCAGCAACCUAAACUUUGUUUUUACAAGGGAAAAUUCAUUGAAUUACCAAUGCUAGCUUGAUCUGGGACACCCUUGACCGAGCCCGAUGGAGCAAAGGGGGUAAAAAAGGGGGGGGGGCAAUUUUGCACACACAUUCUUUUAAAAAAUAUUUCGUAGGUUUCCUUUUUGAAAUUGAAAGUAAAGUUAAGUU
rnacentral:lncRNA from 1 species